rnacentral:lncRNA from 1 species
CUCUGCUCGUGUCUUCAGGGAUCAUCAUCAUCAUCGAAGGUUCAUGUCAUAAAAUGAAUCUCGAUUAGAAACUCAUUAACAAAUCUCAUGCCUUAACUCUUGCUCUAUCUCAUAUUCUAUCUCCUUAUUCAACUCUAUAUAGACUCUCCACUCAUCUCAAAUCCUUAAGCUCAAGGAUAGGUUUCAAGAAAAUCAUGGUUCUAAGUCUCGAUUUAUCUCUCAUAUAAGACUCGUCUAAUUUUCACUCAAACACAUAGGCAACACAAACACGUAAGGCACAUAAGAAAAAUACAAUCAAACAUCAACAAAACAUGCUCUGUUUUCACACUGACUCAACUUCAAAAUUUAACACGUUCUGACUCCGACAUUCCCUGGACUCCAGACUCAUACCAAAAGAAAGGUCUUCGAGUCUAGUUUCAUAUAAAAAAAAGUAGAGUCAAACAAUCCAAGUGGUUUGGGAGAUAUGACUGUUUUACUACAGUCUACCAUAUUCGGCAGGUUUGAGCAAUCGAAAACUUUGAUUUUUGAAAAAUAGUAAAUGUUGUCAAACUGGGCUCAAAUUUGGUGGAUAUCUAGCUAACACAAUAAGGUUAAUACCAUAAAAAUUUGGAAAGCUAGAUCACACAGGAAGCUACUGAAAAGAAUGACUCUUUCCCCUGCUCUCUGAAAUUCUCGGUAGUAAUGUGCAGUUUAGGUUUUGUAUUUUAUAAAAAUAGUAAAUGAAGUCCAAAUGACUUGAAAUUUUACUGGUGUGCUCAAGACUCAUGUAGAGACUUGCUAUAAAAUUUUGACAUCGACAAACCGUCGAUCACAGUAGGUCAGUAGGCCUACGAAAAAUCACCAAAAUCUCAUCUCAAACUCUUAAAUGCUCAACUCAACAUUCCUUCAAAGAAAACCAAUCAAAGCUCAUUUUAAACACAUAUAACACUCACAAACAUUCAAAAACAUUAUAAUACUCAUCAUACUCAAAUUAACUCUCCUCUUUUACAUCUUAACUCAAAUCUCAAGGAAAACGUUUCAACGAACGCAUCAAUCAAAUUCUCUUUUCAUUUUCAUGCUCAAAAUUACUCAAUCAUUCAUAAAUGACCUCAUACAUCAUAUUACUCAUUAUACACAUAGAUCCUCUUUAAUCAUACAAACUAAACUAAGUCCAAAUUUUACUUAGCCAACAAAAGACUUAAUCAAACAUAAUUAAACACUAAUAUCAUGCUCAAUUACAUAUAUCUUAAACCAAAAUCACUUAAAUAACACAUAGGCAAAAAGUCCUAAUUUUUAUUAAACUAAACUCUUUGAAAUUUUAUAGACACACAUGAAACCUUAAUCUAAUCAUAGAUCUAUCAAUUUUAACCAUUUAAACUCACAUAUAAACCACCAAUUUACAAUUUAGAGCAUAGAUACACAUAUCCCUAAUUUUAUUAAACUAACUCACCUCAAAUUCAUCAAUUAACAUCAUAUACUCAAUCUACUCCAUCAAUCAUCAUCAUAAGCAUCUCAUAGACACAUUUUCAUCAUCAAUUCAUCACUUAACACAUCAACUCACAAUUCCCAAUUUAGGUAAACUAAACUCAUUCAACUUUCACAUCUCAAGGCAUAUACUUUCACAACACACAUCAAUCAUCAACAAACACCACAUAGAUCUCAUUUUUCACCCCAAAUCAAGGAAAGAAAAAGAAAAAUUUUUGAAGGGUAAAGACCCAUUUUUUCGAAAAUUGAGAAAAAGGGAAGGGGUGAUUUUUCUUGCUUCAAUCUUUCAAAAAAAUACUCACAUACAACAUCAUACAAGUUAAAUCUAUGAAUUUAAAUAUCACUUACCCAAACUUACACCCAAAAUCAAAUUUUCUCUUUCUAGCUUUGAAAUCAAACUUCAAUGAUCUUCUUGAAUCCAAUGAGAUUGAAGGUGUUUAGGCAAGAUUUUGGAGUGGAUUGAUGUGUUUGGUAUGAUUUUGUGAAGCUUCGAAGGUCUCUACAAUGGUUGACAAUGGAGGAAAGUGAGAGAUGAGGGAGAGAAGGUGGUGGUCGAAAAUGGG